rnacentral:rRNA from 1 species
GGCCAUACCACCCUGAGAACGCCCGAUCUCGUCUGAUCUCGGAAGCUAAGCAGGGUCGGGCCUGGUUAGUACUUGCAUGGGAGACUGCCUGGGAAUACCAGGUGCUGUAAGCU